GGAGAGGUGUCUGAGCGGUCGAAAGAGCACGCCUGGAAAGUGUGUAUAGGUUAAUAGCCUAUCGAGGGUUCGAAUCCCUCCCUCUCCGCCA
rnacentral:tRNA from 1 species